AGUUAUCCAAUAAUGAAUAUUCGCAAUUUGCAUCCCCCACUUACUGCUCCUUAGGGUGCAUUCAAUUCGAACUCGGUUUUAUUAUUAUUAUACUGAAACAAAAUAUACGCUUGAUAAUACAUCUUCAAUCAGAUUAAUCCAUAAAAUUAAUCAUCCUGUAUAAUAAACAGCAGAAUAUCUCUUAUUUUUUUCCAAAUUAUCAUUAUAAGGGAGGCUGAUUAUUUGACAGAUAAUUCACCAAAGCAUAUGUUAUCAGUAAUCCUCUAUCAACGCAACUCUACAUUGCUUGGUUGUGAGGUGAAUAGCUGAACGCCCCAACAGAUGAGGCAGCUGGAUCUCCGAUUGCAAACUGCUAACUCAAUCAUAAUAUCCGUAAAGCAGUCAGUCAAACUAAACACCAUAAUAUUUAAAAGAUUGCUUAUUUGUAGAGCCAAUGUAAAUAAAAAUUCGAUAUAUCAAUUUCACUGUCAUUCAACCAUAAUUGCUUCCUAAUUAAUUCCAUGCAAAUUAAAUGCAAAUAUUCUUUCGUACUAAGCUUAUUCUCACUUAUAACCUCGUAGAUGAAAGGAUAGAACCAUCAGUGGGAAAAAGACAAUUUGCCAAAUGGUAUUAUCUUUAGCAGUGGAGCACUUGAGAGUAGAACUUCAUCUGAAAUCAGGCUUCAAAAAUUUGAAAGCAUUUGCAGCAUCAGGAAAAGUACUACAACUUAAAGGCAUCUCCUCCAGUUUUGAUACCUCCUCGGAAGCAACAAGAGCAAAGAAUUCAACCCUUUAAAACUCCCUUCACAAACCCUUGCAAAGAAUUCCCCAUUCCAGCACCAACAGCUUCAGCCAAGUACAUUGCCUCUUGAAUUGUCUUCUUGAAAUCAAAAGCAUCUUUCACUCGACAAUCCAAGAAUGCCCAUGUAUCACGAAAAUCUGUAAAAAAAUGAAGUUGGUAGAUGAGACAUUAUUAUUCAUAAUUACCUCUAUAUAAAAGAGGAUAACCUCAACCAAAUAAUUGCCUAUGGCACAGAGGAAUAAUGCAGCGGCCCUUCAAGGGAAACCAACAAUAAAGAGGUAAGUAAUAAUCUUCUCUUUUCUUUGGUACACUUACAAUUCUUCAAUUAAGGGGAAAAAUCUAACUGAAACUCCACAAUGGGACAGACGAGGAAAGAAACAAUUACACAAUGUCACGAACAAUCAAAAUAAAAUUAGACACCCCCUUCACAUGUCAAUUAAAAGGAGAAAAGUGACUUUUGUUUCAAUCAAUGCUAAUAACAGAUAAAAGUUAAGAAAAUAAACCUGGGGAACUAUCAGUCAGCAUGUAAAUCUCAGUUGUUGAGUAUAUCCCUCCCAGGACAGUGCGCUUUACAUACCAAUUAAUAUCAGAUCCCUCGUCACCAGCAGCAUGCCAGAUCUCAUCAAGCAGUAUUGCACGCUGCUUAAAACUAGUUGGAACAUUUGCCGGGUGUGCCUGGAUGCUCAGAGCUUGGGGCCAUUUAGAAAUGUAGGGAGCUUGCAUUUCUAGUCGGAUCCUAACAAGCUUCGAGAUGCGUUCACUAGGUACCAAAUUUUGUAACUCCUCCCCAGAGUCAAUUCGAUCAAUAAGCUUUUGUAAGCACUCAUCCAUAAAAAACUGAAGCAAGAAAAAAAUAAUAGAAGUCAUUCAUCACACUCUUGACACAUGUACAGUAUGGGCAUUCAGAUGCUGAACCAUUACAACUGAGCAUGAGCAAAAAGAAAGUUCAAAUGCAUGGCACAAAAACUUUGCAUAAGAUGACCAAAAGAAAAAGGAUACAGCAUUUUUCUUCUCUCUGACUCUGAUUCAACGAGACAGCACAAGGAACAUCUAACAGAGACAAACAUAUCUUAGAUUAGAGACCAAUUAACCAUAACAGAUGCCGACACAUAAAGCUCACAAAGGCCAUUCCCCUAUUUUGUUUUUUUCCAAAAACGAUUACAUUGUAGAUCAUCAUGAUUCUUGAUGAGACGAUUCUUGGGCUAUCAUUCGAGUGGCUAUACAAGAACAGAAAAGGCCAUCCAAGAACACAGUAAGUAUCAACCCAAUAGCAUAUCAGAACUACCAAUAACGAUCAAGUUCAAAAGAAUAAAUGCAACUUAAAAAAACAUCCGAAAUCCUUAUUCUGAAGAUAAGAAAGUGGCAGAAAGAUAAAGGAGAAGCCAGCAUCACAAUAAGGGGGAAAACCAUACCUCGACUAGUGCGGCUUCCUUUCGAGGAAAAGAUCCAAUGAUAGCAGGGGAGACACCAGCGUCCCUUGCACCAGCAAUCAUGGCUUCUUCACUCCAUCCCAACCUUAUCACGUGGCGAAAGGAAGCCUGAAGAACGCGAGCUUGCUCAUCUUGGUACUCAACUCUCGGAAUCCGCCUCUCCUGCUGGCGAUGGUGGUGGUGACCGUAUCGGGCAUCGUCAGCCGUAAAUGAUGUUGACCCACUUGAAGACGAAGACGUUGAAGAUGAUGACAAGUUUGAGUCUGAUUGGUUAGGUGUGGCCUCCACAUUCAGACAUCGGAUUUGAUUUUGAUUAUUAGGGUUUUGAUUGGAGAUUGAUUGAGGAUUCACUGAGGUGCAAAAGCGAAAACCGGUAACGAUUGUUUGGAGAUUAAGGAAUCUGAGACGGGCGACGCUACUCUUACCCACGGUAGCACCGGAGAGUAGCCGCUUAGCCGCCGUUCUAUACAUCUUUACCGUAACUCAGCUUGCAGAAGGGAGCGAGAAGGAAAGAGACCGGCAGUCCUAUUACUUUGGCUGAAGAAGAUCAAAACAGUUUUCUGGGUUCGACGUAGCUGUACUUGUAUCAUUCCACGUGUCAUUAGUUAAGCCAUAGCCCACGCAAAAUGAGGACAGCUGGACAGGAAAGAAGAGGAAGAAGGAGAA
rnacentral:misc_RNA from 1 species